rnacentral:rRNA from 1 species
GAUGAACGCUAGCGGCAGGCUUAAUACAUGCAAGUCGAACGGGAUUCGAGGUAGCAAUACUUUGAUGAGAGUGGCGCACGGGUGCGUAACGCGUAUGCAACCUACCUUUAACAGGUGAAUAGCCCCGAGAAAUCGGGAUUAAUACACCGUAACAUUGCGCUGUGGCAUCACAGUGCAAUUAAAGAUUUAUCGGUUAAAGAUGGGCAUGCGUGACAUUAGCUAGUUGGUGAGGUAACGGCUCACCAAGGCAACGAUGUCUAGGGGUCCUGAGAGGGUUAUCCCCCACACUGGUACUGAGACACGGACCAGACUCCUACGGGAGGCAGCAGUAAGGAUAUUGGUCAAUGGGCGCAAGCCUGAACCAGCCAUGCCGCGUGCAGGAAGACGGCCCUAUGGGUUGUAAACUGCUUUUGCAGGGAAUAAACCUUUGUACGUGUACAGAGCUGAAGGUACCUGAAGAAUAAGCAUCGGCUAACUCCGUGCCAGCAGCCGC